rnacentral:rRNA from 1 species
GUGAGUAGAGCGGCGGACGGGUGAGUAAUGCUUGGGAAUCUGCCCAAUAGUGGGGGACAACAGUUGGAAACGACUGCUAAUACCGCAUACGCCCUACGGGGGAAAGGAGGGGAUCUUCGGACCUUCCGCUAUUGGAUGAGCCCGCGUCGGAUUAGCUAGUUGGUAGGGUAAAGGCCUACCAAGGCGACGAUCCGUAGCUGGUCUGAGAGGAUGAUCAGCCACACUGGAACUGAGACACGGUCCAGACUCC